UGAGCCAGAACAGGAGGGACCCUGGUCGAAUGCGGUAGUGGGUAAGGGCACGGCUGAGCAAGGGCACGAUCAGGAGCCGACCUGAGAGGGGGAACGGCCAAAUGGGAACUGAGAGACGGUCCAAACCCCUACGGGAGGCAGGAGUGGGGAAUAGUGCACAAUGGGCGAAAGCCUGAGGCGGCAACGCCGCGUGAGUGAUGAAGGCCGGCGGGUCGUAAAACGCUGUCCGCAAGGAAGAUAAUGACGGUACUUGAGGAGGAAGCCCCGGCUAACUACGUGCCAGCAGCCGCGGUAAUACGUAGGGGGCUAGCGUUAUCCGGAUUUACUGGGCGUAAAGGGUGCGUAGG
rnacentral:rRNA from 1 species